CCGGUCGAUCUGUGCCCGCACCGCCUGCGCCACCGGGCAUUCCCAAACGUGGUGCAUGCGUGGCGAGCAUGGCUGACCAGCUGCUCUACCGAAUCCGCCACAUCCACAGCGUUUUGGAGUCAUGCGGGCUAGGUGCGUGUUGCCCGGUAGGGGGACUGCGAGCCGCUAUAACGUCUCCUUAUUCUCAUUCUCCCAUCGUACCCCGGACCAUACGCGGGCCUGCGUCGCCCUGAAUAGGCUGAUUCCCGAGGGGGGCGGCGGCGACGGGCCCUGAGGAUCCGUGGCCUCCCGCACAAAUUCAGCUACCAGGCGUCUUCUCCUCUCCUCCAUAGG
rnacentral:lncRNA from 1 species